rnacentral:tRNA from 1 species
GAGAGAGGCCCGAGGCACUAGAGACUGCUAAUCCCCUAUUUCCCACGGUUAAACUCCGUGGCUCACUCG